GGGAUAUGAUGAUAAACCAUUUGGUCCGUGUUUCUGAUUCAACCGUGACUGAUAAAUCUUUACCAAUAUCUGAUCUC